AUGCAUUUCAUUCUUUUUAAUGGUUGCAUAGUAUUUCUUAGCAUGGAUUACCAUAGUUUGGUCAUGUGCUUUUAUGUUUUUGUUUUUAGGAAAACAAACAUAUCAAGUGGGAUUCUAGAUGGGAUUACAUUUUGGAGUCUAUGCCUCAUCCCCACAUCCAGUGGCUUAGGAACAGUCGGAUUUUUUUCCUGCUUCUGUUUUAUUAUCAAAAUCUACAGUGUGGUGAAAGUGGAUUAAAGAAUGUCCCCAGAGGCUUCCAGGCACAUCACCCUUGCUUUUGAAUAUACAUCUGUAUCUAUAUGAACAUCUAUAAAGAUACAUAUGUAUGCUUCCAAUUGCCUGUUUUUAAUAUAUAUCAAUUGGAAAAUCUCAUUGUCUGGCCUCAGUUUGUGUAACACAACACACUGAUUGCAUGCAGAAAACCAGGUUGGGAAAUAGCUUUAUUCUAAGUCAUAUUUUCCUGAAAUGAUACUAUAAAAGGGUUUGAUUUAAAGGAAUUAGAGCAAGGGAGGCACAUUUAUUUAAGAAAUUAAAGUGCAGUGGUUUUUCAGAUGAAGAAUUUUUCUUUUUUUCUUCCUCAUUUAUUUAGAGCAUCAGAACUAUUGUCAAAUAAAUUUUAGGUAAAACGUGAACUUUUUUUUUUU
rnacentral:lncRNA from 1 species